ACUUAUCUAAUAUAAAAGUAUAUUUGACUUCCAAUCAAAAAGUCUGAAAGUUCAGGAUAAGUA
rnacentral:tRNA from 1 species